rnacentral:sRNA from 1 species
GGGAUUCCAGGCAUGAGCCACCGCACCCGGCCGAGAUAUCUUUUUCCUCCUCAAUAUCUAUGUGCUCCUCCCUCAACCCUUGGGGGCUUCAGUGUAGGUGGUCAGAUUCCCCACCAAUUAUGCCUAUGAUGAAAAGAGUGGAAGUGGUAAUAACUGGAUGGUGUCACUAAACUACAAAUACUUUCAGAUGCUGCCAGGGUCCCUGAAGAGGGAAGACACGCGGAAACAGGCUUGCACCCAGACACGACACCAUGCAUCUCCUCGGCCCCUGGCUCCUGCUCCUGGCACCCUGAAACCCUCUACGCCUGGGAGGGGGCCUGCGUCUGGAUCCCCUGCACCUACAGAGCCCUAGAUCGUGACCUGGAAAGCUUCAUCCUGUUCCACAAUCCUGAGUAUAACAAGAACACCUCGAAGUUUGAUGGGACAAGACUCUAUGAAAGCACAAAGGAUGGGAAGGUUCCUUCUGAGCAGAAAAGGGUGCAAUUCCUGGGAGACAAGAAUAAGAACUGCACACUGAGUAUCCACCCGGUGCACGUCAAUGACAGUGGUCAGCUGGGGCUGAGGAUGGAGUCCAAGACUGCGAAAUGGAUGGAACGAAUACACCUCAAUGUCUCUGGUAAGGC